GCCUGGGUGGCUCAGUCGGUUGAGCGUCCGACUUCGGCUCAGGUCAUGAUCUUGUGGUCAGCGGGUUCGAGCCCUGCAUCGGGCU
rnacentral:tRNA from 1 species